UCCCUCAGGAGUUGGGACUAUGUCUUCUGGUUCCUUUAUGUUAAGUGACCCUGUAACCAUGCAAAAGAGUGGCACAGUCCCCUCCUACUGCCCCAUAUUCAACAAUUAAAAGUCCUAAUCCUUACUCAUAUGAGUGGUCCCACAGAAUGGCUGCAGGAUUGGGUCUUAAGUGACUAGAAGCCCAAAAGUCACAUCUAGAAAACAGAGGGAAGUGUAUUGAAUUGAUUUUUUCAAAAAUUCAAUUUUCUAUUGUUUAAGUGAACAUAAAGUCAUGCACAUGGCUAUCUUUCUCUUUCAGAGCUUUCCCUGAGUCAGAGUCACUGAUCAUUCCCACAAGCUAUUCUGAAUGGAAUUGUAUAUCUGUAAAGAUGUUCAAUCUCUUUGCUAACUCGUGUUAAAUCCUACAGCAUACACAUACU